CUGUGCUCCGGCAUAGGCCCGCGUGUCGGGGUUCAGCGGUUCCGGGGCUGCCGUGGCCCCGACCCUCGUGGCUGCGACCUGAGCGCCCAAACACCGGCGCAUGGAGGGGGCCACGGAGAGAGCGUUGCAGGGGGCCUCUCCCGGUAACUCGCAGGGGGCUGCACCCGCUGUAGCACUGGCCUCGGUGCUCAAGCACAGCUCCGAGUUGCCGCUGGAGAGCGCCCAGGUUCGGGGUUACGACUUCAGCCCUGGGGUGGAUUACCGCGCACUUCUGGAGGCCUUUGGUACCACGGGCUUCCAGGCCACCAACUUUGGGCGGGCGGUGCAGCAAGUCAACGCCAUGAUUGAGAAGAAACUGGAGCCGCUAGCAGAGGAUGAAGACCACCACGCAGACCUGACACAGAGCAGCCGGCCACUCACGGGCUGCACUAUUUUCCUAGGCUACACAUCCAACCUCAUCAGUUCCGGCCUCCGGGAGACCAUUCGCUACCUCGUGCAGCACAAUAUGGUGGACGUAUUGGUGACCACUGCUGGAGGUGUAGAGGAAGACUUCAUCAAGUGCUUGGCACCCACAUACCUUGGGGAGUUCAGCCUCAAGGGGAAGGAGCUCUGGGAGAAUGGGAUUAACAGGAUAGGGAACCUGCUGGUGCCCAAUGACAAUUACUGCAAGUUUGAGGACUGGCUGAUGCCCAUUCUGGACCAGAUGGUGCUGGAGCAGAACACCAAGCAUGUCGAGUGGACACCUUCCAAGAUGAUUGCCAGGCUUGGCAAGGAGAUCAACAACCCAGAGUCAGUGUAUUAUUGGGCCCAGAAGAACAAUAUUCCUGUUGCUGAGCCCUGCACUCACGGAUGGCUCCUUGGACGACAGGAGCUUCUUCCAUUCCUACAAGAAUCCUGGCUUGGUCCUCGACAUCGUUGAGGACCUGCGGUUCAUCAACAUGCAGGCCAUCUUUGCCAAGUGCUCUGGGAUGAUCAUCCUGGGUGGAGGCAUGGUCAAGCACCACAUUGCCAACGCUAACCUCAUGAGGAAUGGGGCCGACUAUGCCGUCUAUAUCAACACGGCCCAGGAGUUUGAUGGCUCGGAUUCAGGUGCCCGGCCAGAUGAAGCUGUCUCUUGGGGCAAGAUCCGGAUGGAUGCACAGCCAGUCAAGGUGUAUGCUGAUGCUACCCUGGUCUUCCCUCUGCUUGUGGCCGAAACCUUCGAAAAGAAGUAUUCCCCUCAACAGUUGUGUAAACUACCAUUCCAUAAGUUAUUUUAG